AACAAUAUCUGCUGCUUCACUGUUCCUGCCUGCUUGCUGCUCUUUGUUCAGUGUGUGGGGCUCCACUGUCACAGAGGGAACGCAGUCUCACAGCACUGUAGCCAGACGUGACUCUGCUAACCUGGAGUGCUGACAUUGUCUCUGUCUCCUGAUGUGUUCCUGUUGACCAGUGAGCUUUGCAAUCGCUGCUGUGAGAGUUUGGUGUAGCAGAUGAUGAUGGGAGUUGUACGAUGCCAGUUCACACAGUUCUGACUGAGGAGUGUCCAAAACCCUGUGGAUCUUGGCCUCUGUGGUCUCUCUCCAGCACAGUGACUGGCUGGAUACAAGUUGCUGGUCCAUUUUUGGUACUAU
rnacentral:lncRNA from 14 species